CCCUUAGAUGUUCUGGGCCACACACGCGCUACACUGAAGGAGGCAGCGUGUACUCCUGGAUCGAAAGAUUUGGGUAACCCGCGAAUCUCCUUCGUGCUAGGGAUUGAGGUUUGCAAUUAUCCUUCAUGAACGAGGAAUUCCCAGUAAGUGCAAGUCAUAAGCUUGCGCUGACUACGUCCCUGCCCUUUGUACACACCGCCCGUCGCUACUACCGAUUGAAUGAUUUAGUGAGGACUUCGGACUGGGACCGAUGCGGCUUUCGGGCUGCGUCGGUAUUCUGGAAAGAUGUCCAAACUGUAUCAUUUAGAGGAAGUAAAAGUCGUAACA
rnacentral:rRNA from 1 species